rnacentral:rRNA from 1 species
GCGAACGCUGGCGGCAUGCCUAACACAUGCAAGUCGAACGAGACCUUCGGGUCUAGUGGCGCACGGGUGCGUAACGCGUGGGAACCUGCCCUUAGGUUCGGAAUAACUCCCCGAAAGGGGUGCUAAUACCGGAUAAUGUCUUCGGACCAAAGAUUUAUCGCCUUUGGAUGGGCCCGCGUUGGAUUAGCUAGUUGGUAGGGUAAAAGCCUACCAAGGCGACGAUCCAUAGCUGGUCUGAGAGGAUGAUCAGCCACACUGGGACUGAGACACGGCCCAGACUCCUACGGGAGGCAGCAGUGGGGAAUAUUGGACAAUGGGCGAAAGCCUGAUCCAGCAAUGCCGCGUGAGUGAUGAAGGCCUUAGGGUUGUAAAGCUCUUUUACCCGGGAUGAUAAUGACAGUACCAGGAGAAUAAGCGCCGGCUAACUCCGUG